GUGAGGAAUAUUGGUCAAUGGGCGAGAGCCUGAACCAGCCAAGUCGCGUGAAGGAAGAAGGAUCUAUGGUUCGUAAACUUCUUUUGCAGGGGAAUAAAGUGCGGGACGUGUCCUGUUUUGUAUGUACCCUGAGAAUAAGGAUCGGCUAACUCCGUGCCAGCAGCCGCGGUAAUACGGAGGAUCCGAGCGUUAUCCGGAUUUAUUGGGUUUAAAGGGUGCGUAGGUGGUUUGAUAAGUCAGCGGUGAAAGUUUGCAGCUUAACUGUAAAAAUGCCGUUGAAACUGUCGGACUUGAGUGUAAAUGAGGUAGGCGGAAUGCGUGGUGUAGCGGUGAAAUGCAUAGAUAUCACGAAGAACUCCGAUCGCGAAGGCAGCUUACUAAGCUACAACUGACACUGAAGCACGAAAGCGUGGGGAUCAAACAGGAUUAGAAACCACAGUAGUCC
rnacentral:rRNA from 1 species